rnacentral:rRNA from 1 species
UGCCAGCAGCCGCGGUAAGACGAAGGUGGCAACCGUUGUUCGGAAUCAUUGGGCAUAAAGCGCACGUAGGCGGGUAAGUAAGUCGGGUGUGAAAUCCCUCGGCCCAACCGAGGAACUGCGCCCGAUACUGCUUAUCUUGAGGGCAGGAGGGGAUCGUGGAAUUCCUGGUGGAGCGGUGAAAUGCGUUGAUAUCAGGAGGAACACCGGCGGCGAAGGCGACGAUCUGGCCUGCUUCUGACGCUGAGGUGCGAAAGCCAGGGGAGCAAACGGGAUUAGAUA